GAUCAUGGCUCAGGAUGAACGCUAGCGGCAGGCUUAACACAUGCAAGUCGGAGGGGCAGCAUAAUGGAUAGCAAUAUCUAUGGUGGCGACCGGCGCACGGGUGCGUAACGCGUAUGCAACCUACCUUUAACAGGGGGAUAACACUGAGAAAAUUGGUACUAAUACCCCAUAAUAUCAUAGAAGGCAUCUUUUAUGGUUGAAAAUUCCGAUGGUUAGAGAUGGGGCAUGCGGUUG
rnacentral:rRNA from 1 species